UUUGGCCACGUUGGUCUGGUCUAAAUGACGGGCGUUUACAGUUUACUGUAGCGUUAAUUCAAACGGACUCACCGUUUGAAAGACACACACAGAAACACAGCAGCGAAAAUUCAAGGGUGAAAUCGCCACAGCACAGAAGAAUCCAUGCACUGUCUUCUCUGAGAGAAUAAAAUGCUGGAUUGCAAGACAUUUUGGAAAAGUGUGUAGAGGUGCUGAAGGCAUCUCAAAGUCUAGAAAAUAAGAAUGUUGCUGUCAGACUCUGAGAACUGCACUGGCCUCAAGGGAAAGAAACCAAGUCAACACCGCGGGCAGCACAACUAAGGAGAGCUUCGCCUGCCUUGUUUGCAGAGACGCAUAUUGCUGUUAUGCGUGGCCGAGAGCCGUGGGAACGGGGUGAGGCCACCGCGUAAGUGGAUACACCUGCGGUGGGCAUCUGCCUCGGAUCCCACGGAAGGAGCUCUGGACCAUAAAAGGAG